rnacentral:rRNA from 1 species
GACGAACGCUGGCGGCGUGCUUAACACAUGCAAGUCGAACGGAAAGGCCCUGCUUUUGUGGGGUGCUCGAGUGGCGAACGGGUGAGUAACACGUGAGUAACCUGCCCUUGACUUUGGGAUAACUUCAGGAAACUGGGGCUAAUACCGGCUAGGAGCUCCUGCUGCAUGGUGGGGGUUGGAAAGUUUCGGCGGUUGGGGAUGGACUUGCGGCUUAUCAGCUUGUUGGUGGGGUAGUGGCUUACCAAGGCUUUGACGGGUAGUCGGCCUGAGAGGGUGACCAGCGACAUUGGGACUGAGAUACGGCCCAGACUCCUACGGGAGGCAGCAGUGGGGAAUAUUGCACAAUGGGCGGAAGCCUGAUGCAGCAACGCCGCGUGCGGGAUGACGGCCUUCGGGUUGUAAACCGCUUUCGCCUGUGACGAAGCGUGAGUGACGGUAAUGGGUAAAGAAGCACCGGCUAACUACGUG